rnacentral:rRNA from 1 species
GAGACUGCCGGUGUUAAGCCGGAGGAAGGUGGGGAUGACGUCAAGUCCUCAUGGCCUUUAUGUCUAGGGCUACACACGUGCUACAAUGGGUGGUACAAAGAGCAGCUAACUCGCGAGAGUAUGCAAAUCUCAAAAAGCCAUCCUCAGUUCGGAUUGGAGUCUGCAACUCGACUCCAUGAAGUUGGAAUCGCUAGUAAUCGCAGAUCAGCACGCCCGCGGUCCGAAUACGUUCCGGGCCUU